rnacentral:rRNA from 1 species
UACGUAGGGUGCGAGCGUUAAUCGGAAUUACUGGGCGUAAAGCGUGCGCAGGCGGUUCGUUAUGUCCGAUGUGAAAGCCCCGAGCUUAACUUGGGAAUGGCAUUGGAAACUGGCGGGCUGGAGUGCGGCAGAGGGGGGUGGAAUUCCACGUGUAGCAGUGAAAUGCGUAGAGAUGUGGAGGAACACCAGUGGCGAAGGCGACUUCCUGGCCUGUUCUUGACGCUGAGGCGCGAAAGCUAGGGUAGCAAACGGG